rnacentral:rRNA from 1 species
UUGGCUCUCACAUCGAUGAAGAACGCAGCGAACCGCGAUAUUUUUUGUGACUUGCAGAUGUGAAUCAUCAAUCUUUGAACGCACAUUGCGCGGUAUGGCAUUCCGUACCGCACGGAUGGAGGAGCGUGUUCCCUCUGGGAUCGCAUUGCUUUCUUGAAAUGGAUUUUUUUAAACUCUCAAUUAUUACGUCAUUUCACCUCCUUCAUCCGAGAUUACCCGCUGAACUUAAGCAUAUCAAUAAGCGGAGGAAAAGAAACCAACAGGGAUUGCCUCAGUAACGGCGAGUGAAGCGGCAAAAGCUCAAAUUUGAAACCCUCGGGAUUGUAAUUUGAAGAUUUGGCAUUGGAGAAAGCUAACCCAAGUUGCUUGGAAUAGUACGUCAUAGAGGGUGACAACCCCGUCUGGCUAACCGUUCUCCAUGUAUUGCCUUAUCAAAGAGUCGAGUUGUUUGGGAAUGCAGCUCAAAGUGGGUGGUAAACUCCAUCUAAAGCUAAAUACUGGUGAGAGACCGAUAGCGAACAAGUACUGUGAAGGAAAGGUGAAAAGAACUUUGAAAAGAGAGUGAAAUAGUAUGUGAAA